UGAGGAAUAUUGGUCAAUGGGCGGAAGCCUGAACCAGCCAAGUCGCGUGAGGGAAGACGGUCCUAUGGAUUGUAAACCUCUUUUUGCAGGGGAGCAAGGCGCCUUACGUGUAAGGCGUUGGAGAGUACCCUGAGAAAAAGCAUCGGCUAACUCCGUGCC
rnacentral:rRNA from 1 species